UAGUACGAGAGGACCGGGAUGGACCUACCACUGGUGCACCAGUUGUUCUGCCAAGAGCAUAGCUGGGUAGCUAAGUAGGGAAAGGAUAAGCGCUGAAAGCAUCUAAGCACGAAACCUACUCCAAGAUGAGAUCUCCCAACAAGUAAGACCCCUUAAAGACGAUAAGGUAGAUAGGCCAGAGAUGGAAGUGUAGAGAUACAUGGAGUUGACUGGUACUAAUCGGUCGA
rnacentral:rRNA from 1 species